rnacentral:lncRNA from 1 species
UGUGGUCUUCAAUUAUUGCAGUUGCUGGUGAGGGUAUUGUAGCUAUUAUUGCCUUUUACUUGAGAGGGUACACGGGUACACUGUUCACUUUUGUAUGUUGUGCUUAGUGUGGUCAAUGCGUGGAGUCGUCUGUCUGGCCUUUGUUAGUGUCUCAGGCUGCUCAUCACGAGCGAGCAGUAAUUGCGAGUAGUUGACCGUUGUAGCCCUUCGGCUAUAAAUGAGCAUGUGGGUACUCGAUCAGGAUCAUGCCCUUCAGUAUAGCGAUGGCUUGCUUCAGGUUACUGUUGUUUGAUAGUAAAGAGCUUCCAAUGAGUGUCCUGGUGCUAAAAGAUUCCUCGUAGAUUAGAGCCACCUUCCCU